GACGAACGCUGGCGGCGUGCCUAACACAUGCAAGUCGAGCGAGUGGAGUUCUUCGGAACAAAGCUAGCGGCGGACGGGUGAGUAACACGUGGGCAACCUGCCUCAUAGAGGGGGAUAGCCUCCCGAAAGGGAGAUUAAUACCGCAUAAGAUUGUAGCCUCGCAUGAAGUAGCAAUUAAAGGAGCAAUCCGCUAUGAGAUGGGCCCGCGGCGCAUUAGCUAGUUGGUGAGGUAACGGCCCACCAAGGCGACGAUGCGUAGCCGACCUGAGAGGGUGAUCGGCCACAUUGGGACUGAGACACGGCCCAAACUCCUACGGGAGGCAGCAGUGGGGAAUAUUGCACAAUGGGGGAAACCCUGAUGCAGCAACGCCGCGUGAGUGAUGACGGCCUUCGGGUUGUAAAGCUCUGUCUUCAGGGACGAUAAUGACGGUACCUGAGGAGGAAGCCACGGCUAACUACGUGCCAGCAGCCGCCGUAAAAC
rnacentral:rRNA from 1 species